rnacentral:lncRNA from 1 species
CAACGGUGAGAAUCUUUAACUUGUUGUGAGAGAGAUCUCACACCCUCCUAAACAGAGGGUCCUAACCCCACUUUGGCCAGACUAUGUUGUCUUAACCGAGCCCACGCUGGCAUCAAACUUUGGCUAACGGAGUUGCAGGGGCUUGCGCUCUGGCGUAACGCACGGUGGACUAGAACCCGGGUGGCUCGGGCUCGAACUCUUGACCUAGGGUCUGGGAGAACUAGCCUUUAUCCACCAAUUGUGGCACUAGUGGGGAUUGAACUUGAGUCUCCAAGGAGAACCUAAGUCUUUCCAACUACUAGACCACAAGUGAUGGAUUAUAUAGUUACAAAAUAUAGAUUAUGAUAUAUAUUUAGAAAUAAAAAUCUAGAUAAUAUAUACAUUAUGCUAUAUCCUGCACAUUAUGCCCUUUGAGCCUAACCCAGUUAAUUUUUUUGGUUAAGUAUGCUCAUGUGCAAACAAGGCACAUGAUCUGUUUUAAUACAAAAAUGUAAGUGAGUUAGGGCUAAAGGACAUAACAUGCAGGAUGCCAGGAUUUUGAAACGUUAAGGACAAAACUCGUCAAAUUUAAAGGCAAAGGACACCGUUUGCAAUUUGGUACAAACAUAUAGGACAAAACUUGUAAUUUACUCUAAAAAGAUAGUUAAAUAUAAAUCGAGCAUAGCCCGAAAUUUUAUCACUACUCGCCCGUUGAGCUUAAGCUUCAGACGUAGAGCUCAAAAUAAACUGAGCGCAACCUCUCAUAAGUUAAACAACAAGGCAAGUUUGAGCUUAAUCAGGCUUGGCUUGGCUCAUUACAACAAACCAAGCCGGACCUCUCAUAAGUUAAACAACAAGGCAAGGCAAGGCAAGUUCAAGCCUAAUCAGGUUUAGUUUGGCUCAUUAAACCCCUACUUGCAAGUUGCAUAUGAACCUACAUGGCACUUGCAUUUCUCACUAUUUAUUGAAAUUUGAAAGUGCUAAAUGUUGUUUUAUAAGGAGGUAGAAAUAAUAUACAAUAUUAAAUAAAAUAGAAAUAAUCAAACUCUGAGCAAUCUGUAACCAAGUCAAGGAUAGGAACCCUCAUCUAUACCCUACAAGUAGAAGAAAAUAAAGCUUUAAAAAAAAUAAAGUAAUUCUAGAAUAGGAACUUGCAUGAAGUGAAGACAAAGCAUAUAUAUGAUUAACUAAGAUUCAUUACUUUAAUUUACCAUCACCAAACAA